rnacentral:rRNA from 1 species
GAUUAAAACCUCAUAGUUCUGAGAGUCCGCAUGGAUUUACAGAUAAAACUCCGGUGGUUACAGAUGGGCAUGCGUGACAUUAGCUAGUUGGUGAGGUAACGGCUCACCAAGGCAACGAUGUCUAGGGGUUCUGAGAGGAUGAUCCCCCACACUGGUACUGAGACACGGACCAGACUCCUACGGGAGGCAGCAGUGAGGAAUAUUGGUCAAUGGGCGCAAGCUUGAACCAGCCAUCCCGCGUGAGUGAAGAAGGCCCUCGGGUUG